rnacentral:misc_RNA from 1 species
UUUCCGUAGGUGAACCUGCGGAAGGAUCAUUACUGGGUUUAAGGUUUCGUGCCUACCACCCGCCCUCUGUUAUAUCAACCACAACGCUUCGGCCGUUGGCCCCCCUUCAGUAGCACAUGCUGCUGGGGGUUGUCGCGGUCGGUUUACAAUUCUUAGUGUACGCAUGUUGUCUGAUAUGGAUGAAAAGCCAAUGUAUAAAAAAAACUUUCAACAACGGAUCUCUUGGUUCUGGCAUCGAUGAAGAACGCAGC